UACAUGUGUGAUUGGUGUGCUAUGGAAUUUUGGCAGUUGUGUUGCAGGCAAAAGCUUGCAGGUGGAAGCUUGACGAUGGCAGUUGAACACUUGAUUAAAGCUUCCAGUAGCUUGAUUGUGGCAGGUCAUAGCUUUGGACAUAGCUUUAAUCAAAUUUUUUCUGAAGGAUCUGGCUUUGUCUGAUUGGAUUGGAUUCUGAAGGUCAUGGCUUAAUCGUUACUCUCAGAAGUCUAACUGAGUUCAUGGCUUGAUUAUUCAUGCUUGGCCGUGGCAGGUCAUAGCUUGAUUGCAAGUUCAUUGAGAAGCUUGGCUGUGGCAGGUCAUAGCUUGAUUUUGAUACCAACCUUAUGUAGCUUGGCUGUGGCAGGUCAUUGCUGAUUGAGAAUUGCUAUGAAGCUUGGCCGUGGCAGGUCAUUGCUGAUUCAGAGUUGGUUAUUAAGCUUGGCAGUGGCAGGUCAUUGCUGAUUGAAAAUUGUUGUGAAGCUUGGCUGUGGCAGGUCAAUGCUGAUUGCAAAUUGUUGUGAAGCUUGGCUGUGGCAGGUCAUUGCUUGAUUUCUAGUUGUGAUGCAGUGUGGUGUCGAUGUGGGUCACAUGUUAUUUGCAACAAAAUACACGUUCAAAAAGA